AUUAUCCUACGGGGGGCAGCAGUGGGGAAUAUUGGGCAAUGGGCGCAAGCCUGACCCAGCAACGCCGCGUGAAGGAAGAAGGCUUUCGGGUUGUAAACUUCUUUUAUCAGGGACGAAGCAAGUGACGGUACCUGAUGAAUAAGCCACGGCUAACUACGUGCCAGCAGCCGCGGUAAUACGUAGGUGGCAAGCGUUAUCCGGAUUUACUGGGUGUAAAGGGCGUGUAGGCGGGAGUGCAAGUCAGAUGUGAAAACUAUGGGCUCAACCCAUAGCCUGCAUUUGAAACUGUACUUCUUGAGUGCUGG
rnacentral:rRNA from 1 species